rnacentral:tRNA from 2 species
GGGGCCGCGCCAAAGACGAAUCUGGUUUGGGACCAGAGGGUCGUAGGUUCGAAUCCUAUCGCUCCGACCA